GUCUAUAGCCAAGUGGUAAGGCACGGGACUGCAACUCCCUCAUCGUUGGUUCAAAUCCGACUAGGC
rnacentral:tRNA from 2 species